rnacentral:rRNA from 1 species
GACGUAGGGUGCGAGCGUUGUCCGGAUUUAUUGGGCGUAAAGAGCUCGUAGGCGGCUCGUCGCGUCGACCGUGAAAACCCGCGGCUUAACUGCGGGCUUGCGGUUGAUACGGGCGGGCUAGAGUUCGGUAGGGGAGACUGGAAUUCCUGGUGUAGCGGUGAAAUGCGCAGAUAUCAGGAGGAACACCGGUGGCGAAGGCGGGUCUCUGGGCAACUACUGACGCUGAGGAGCGAAAGCGUGGGGAGCGAACAGG